rnacentral:rRNA from 1 species
GCGCAGCAGGCGAGAAUACUUCACACUGUGCGAAAGCACGAUGAGGGAAUCCCAAGUGCUUGCACGUAAGUGUAAGCUGUUUCUCUGUCUAAAACGCAGAGAGAGUAAGGGCUGGGUAAGACGGGUGCCAGCCGCCGCGGUAAUACCUGCAGCUCAAGUGGUGACCGUUAUUAUUGGGCCUAAAACGUCCGUAGCCGGGUUUAAUAAAUGCCUGGGUAAAUUGUGUAGCUUAACUAUACGAAUUCCGGGUAGACUGUUAAACUUGAGACCGGGAGAAGUUAGAGGUACUCCUGGGUA